rnacentral:rRNA from 1 species
UACGUAGGGGGCUAGCGUUAUCCGGAAUUACUGGGCGUAAAGGGUGCGUAGGUGGUUUCUUAAGUCAGAGGUGAAAGGCUACGGCUCAACCGUAGUAAGCCUUUGAAACUGGGGAACUUGAGUGCAGGAGAGGAGAGUGGAAUUCCUAGUGUAGCGGUGAAAUGCGUAGAUAUUAGGAGGAACACCAGUUGCGAAGGCGGCUCUCUGGACUGUAACUAACACUGAGGCACGAGAGCGUGGGGAGCAAACAGG